GUCGUCAUAGCACGGCGGACCGGAGGUCCUUUACCGUCAUUUGUGUGCGACACAAAUGCAACACAACAAUGGACAUGGAGGCGAUGGUUCACCUGCUGCUCGGUCUGUGGCUUUCUGUCAGAUUCAAAGUAAUAGAAGAGUCGGAGAAAGCUGAGAGCGACGAGUCGAAACACUCAGGAGACACACAGGAGAGUUUGGGAGGCGAUACAGCAGCAUCAAGCUGAAGACAAGAGGAUAUGAACUAUGAUAUGAGGGUGGAAGCUGAAUUAGUGAGGAUGACUCCUGCUCCUGUCAUCUCUAAGCUCCUCACACAUCUUUUACCUGCACAUGAGGAAAAUCACUCCUGUAGAAUGCAGUGGUUCAUCAGAACCUCUGGGGAUGUCCUGUGGAUUCUGUGGAUCCUGUGGGUUGCAGGGUGGGUCCUACCUAGACCAGGCUGAUCCUGGACCAUCCCACAGAUGCUCAAUCAGAUCUGGAUGUGGGGAGUGUGGAACCCAGAUGCACAAUGAGGGACGUCUGCAGCGACUGAGAAAGAGUCUCACCACAUCCUGACAUGAGGAAAAAGACUUUAUUGAAGAUUACAAUGGGAAAAACUAUCAGACAGCAGACGGCUGCAUUCAAGGUGAGCUCUGAACAUUUGAUCUGGAACAGGAAUUCAGUAACGGCAGCAUGAGCUUCAUUUCAGUCUGUAGCUGCUGAAUUCAUGGAUGAAUCAUCUGACACUAGAGAGGAAGACCAUCAAACAUCCACGUCAGCUGAUGGAGGUCCAAGAGUCUCACCAAACAACCUACAGAGUGAAGACCUCCAAUCUGAUUGGACGGCCUCCUAUUCAGCCACGUGUGAACAAAUGCCUCUAAGUUGAUUUGUUUUCUAAAAUAAAUCUAGUUUGAGUC
ensembl:lncRNA